GCUCACUCAAAUGCAAAGCCUAGGUCCUAUUACUGUAACAUUCAAAUGUACAAAAAUGUAUCUGAAAUUGCAGCCAUACACAUCAACAUCCAUUGUUUUAUAUAGCUUAAUAAAACAAGAGAGACAAGAGAGCCACACAAGUGUUUAGUAUAUCCUAAGAUGACUAAUGAACUAAAAAUGUUGUUAAAUUGUGGCUUGGGGUGGUCUAGUGGUUAGGGCUGCUACAAUCAGCAUGCACAUAUAAUGUAAACUCACUUACUUUUGGUACAUCGCCUUGGUCCGUACAAUUAACCUUAUUUUAGCGCCCCGAAAAUGUAAUACUUCAAGGUCAACUGUAAUGUCAAUACCAUUGUAAAGCACAAUUUCUCCCCUUUCCAACAGAAUCUAUUACAUGACCUAAACGCUGCCCGUUUCUGCAUAUUUCAACAAGGCAAUGAGCUCCGUUGGGUCUUUAAAAAAAAUGGCGCGUGGAGAAGCGAAACUAAUGCUUGAUAGUGAGAAGGAGAGAAGUUGUGUGGGAAAAUUGCUUUUUUUCACUCAAUCUGUCCAAUUUAUCACCUUAUCGCCUCUAAAAUGUAAAUAAAACACUACAUAGCGUUUAUAUAAUGUGUCAUUACAUACCUAUUUGAAGGUUUGUGUCGAAUUUGAAUCGUUUUUUUAGGGCGGUGCUAAACUCAUCUUAGAAGUAAAUAGCGGCUUUGAGAAUGAUGAUCGCAUGCAAUGAUGACGGAAAAAAUGACUAGGUAUCCCCCUCUUACCCGCGUCACUGUCCAUUUAUUGUUUUUAAACGAUGAGAGAAGUGCUACACCUGGUGGAGAGAGAUUGUAAGACAGAAAUAGUUGCUUUAUGCGUGCUGUAGGUUACGACAUGACACGUCACGAUGUAACGGAGGGUCCGUUUUUUCAUCUUUUCUCCAAUACUAUAGAGCCAUUACCAUGUCGAGCAAUGCUUGAGUAUAAAAGUAGUUCACACCCCUGAUUUUAAAGUCAACACAGUCCCAUUAUUUUUCUUUGUAGCCUCGCACAUUUGUACAGAAUGGCGUGAGUUUACGUUAGGCCAACCGCCACAUUCUGGCCCAUGCACUUCUGGCACAAAUAACUCAGUCCCCCAAUUGACUUCAAGUAGUUACACGUUUCAUAUGGUCAGUCCACGGUUAUUUUACACCCGGUACUGAAAGGAAAUUAUCAUACCAGACACUUUUGGAUAACAUAAAUAAGAAACAAAUAAAAUAACAGUCAGUAGGCUACACAAAACAUUAGUUUCCAUUCAUACAAAGUAUCGGGUAAAUUGCCAAGGUAGAUUUGGCAUGGUAAACGAGGAAAUAGUUUAUUUCUUUUGUACGGAAUGAUAUAUAUAUAAAUCACCCUUAGUCUGUUCAAAAAGGACUACGUUGUUGCGAUGACAACACCAACCAGAGGGCGAACAUAGCAUCUUUCAGGGAGCUGUAAAUGAGGUGACCAAUAAUGGGUGCAAUUAAGAUCAGCUGUGCAGGUUAAUUGAGCACGUAUCGGUGGUUUAACAAGACCAGCUGGCAAUAAUAAGGUUGAUACCUUUUGAGGCAGAAUUUCCAGGCAAGUCUUCCAAAUUGGCAUGUCCCAAUCCCAUGUAGCCAUCGCCGAGAGGCUAUUACAUAACACCUUGCAGCGCAGCAAAAAUAAUUGACGACGGACAGAAGUCCCCACUUGGGAGAACAUUUUUCAGAAAUCCACAAAAUAGACUAAAGUGGCACCUGAUCACGUUUCACUCCAUUGUAUUGGCUUGGCAGGAGAAAAACAGUCCUGCAUGACUCGUUUUAGAAGUUGAAUGAUAUUCCACCCUGCAGAUGUAAGGAACUUGUUGUGAACCUCCCAGCCAACAGGAUAAUCAACAUAUCCCAGGAUAUUAUUUAGGAGUGUGCCAACCUCACAAUGUUAGAAAUAGAUUCACCCAUGAUAUUAUUUGUCAUGCAGAUUUGUCAGGACAUUGUAAUUCAUAAAGCUCAUUCUGAAAUA